GGGCGAAACCUCCGCAAUGGGUUAGAGCCUGACGGGGGGAGGGGGAGUGCCUGGGGUUUUCCCCAGGCUUUUGGGGAGUGUAAAAAGCUCCCCGAAUAAGCGGUGGGCAAGAGGG
rnacentral:rRNA from 1 species